CUCUUUGUGACCCUAUGGACUGUAGCCCACCAGGCUCCUCUGUCCAUGGAAUUCUCCAGGCAAGAACACUGGAGUGGGUUGCCAUUUCCUUCUCCAGGGGAUCUUCCUGACCCAGGGACUGAACCCAGGUCCCCCGCAUUGCAGGUGGGCUCUGGGAAGCACCAUUUUAAAAGGUAGAUCUGAAUAAGGUAUUCGUAGAGGACAAAGUCCAAGAUAUAACAACCCCUCCAAAAAAGGUAGGCUGUAAAAGUUGCAUAUAGGACAUGCUUUCAUUUUUGUUAAUUAGUAAUAUACAUUCAUAUUUACAAGUAAAACAUUCCACAGGAUAAUGCAGCGAAAGGUUAGGUCUGCAGGCUCUGUAAGGUAGAAGCUUUCUAUCUAGACUACACUGUUACAUUCUUUUAUAGUAAGUGUUUCCACCGUGACCAAAAAUACAGAGAUAACUAAAAAACACAAAAGCAGAAAUGCAGACAACAGCCUACGAAUGAGUAAGUACAAAGUAGUCCCAUCAGAUGAAUGCAGAUCCCAUGGCGUGGGAACAAAACUCAAGUUCAAAGGAAACGCCCUUUCGGCCCUGCUGAGCAGAGGCCACCUCGACCGACGGCGCGUCACCCCCUCGGCAAGCCAACCUCUCUGGCCUGGCUCCAGCUGCCUGGCCUUGGUCAUCCCACGUCUACCAGGCUCGCCUCCAUCAGGACCGACCCCCUCGUCACUCGUGGGCAGUUCAGGGCAGAGGCAACAAGAAGAGGCCAACUGGGGACCAAGGUUUGUAGCCUCACCCUAUGGCACUGCGAUUCCAAACCCACAGCGCUCACUCCUAAACCUGCCAGCUCCAGCUGCAUCGCGUCCAAACACUCCCCAAGCUCCUGAACUAGCUUCCCUCUGUCACCAGAUCCGUGUGCAGAGCAUUUCCAUGGCAAUAACCUGCUCCACAAAAGCCAAGCCUCUGGGAACUAAACAGAAGCGCCUGCUGCAGCGGGGACAGCAGCCAGCCACGUGGCCGAGGAAGAGCAUCACGUGGCCACAGAUCCAAAGACUUCAGGAAGCCGGGCUUAAGGAUGCCUCCCAGAGCCGCUGAACACCCCUCCAGCCACCCCAUCCUCCCAGUGGCAAAUGCAGUAAGCAGUACGUGGCAAAGAUUCUUCACACGCCCCCAGCCCUCUCUGUUCCUCUCCACUCAGUGCCCCCAACACCCACACACAAGCACAGGUCCUCUCGGAGAAUAUUUCAGCCUUGUUCACGUAUACACAGAAUGCAAGACCUACUCACUUUUAAAGGAUAAAUGCCCUACAUGUGCAUGCCUAUUACACACAUACGCACAAUAAACGGCAGAACCGCACUGUGCCCGCUCAGGAAAUGGGUUGUGGGGGGGGGCGGUGUGCUCCCUGGAAUGAGGGGUCUUCUCUGCUCUGCUCGGGGCUUUUGAAAUGUCAGCUGAGCCAGGGAAGAGGCUCUGACUCACACCCUGACUCACUCCCUUCUCUGCUGCAAGACCCCAUCUUUGCAGGGAGGGCAGCACACAGCUUUUUCAUUCACUCCCUCAUUCAGGCAUAAAACCUGUUUUCAGCAGAAAAAAUAAACUCAUUCAGGCACAAACUCUAUGCCCAGCCUUGCACGGGUCCCUGAAGAGAGAGACGUGAAGACAUAAAUAAAAUGUAGUCCCUGCCCUCAAGUUUCUCAUUGUCUGACAGAUGGGAAACAAACAAGUCAGCACAAAUCAAAGUGCUAUCAGAGGGGAGACAAACCCAGAGUGUUCAGAAGACUGAAACAUCUGACCGUGAAAGUGUGACAGGUCCACGUGGCGAAACGAUUCAUAAACAGAAAGGAAAGACACGCGGCAGACCAGGGGGAUUUACUGUCAACACACAGCACAGACGAGGGACUGGUCUCCACUAUAUCUAAAGACAGCUAGUGUCCAUCAGUAAGAAAAAGCCCACCAGAAAAAUGGACAAAGUAAUACGAAGAGGGGAUUUCCAGAGAAAGAAAUAUGAAUGAGCAACAAGCCCAUGAAGAUAUGCCAACCUGCAUGAAUACCUGGGAAAUGCAAAUGAAAACAAGAUACUUUUGCACGCAUUCGAUUGGCAAAAACGGAAAAGAACAGUUCAGUCCCAGUGUUGAGGCCCGUGUGGGUUGAAUGAAUGGUGAACGGAUGAGUAAAGGUCCCAUCAAGCCCCUCACAGGUUGGAGGAUGGAUAUUCCAUUUCUUUUGCUAUUUCUCCCUCUCCUCCUGGGUGUUUUGCACAUGACAGAUACCCAGCAGUCCUCUGUGAAUCGAGUGAAAUGGGACGUAUUGCUUCCUAUAUGAGCUGCAGAGGUUUCUUAUUAUUCAAAUGCCCCUCCCCAUUGCUCUUCUGGGAUUGGGGAUGAUUCAAGGAGGCUAAUGGAUCUGGGAGCAGGAGCUGGAGACGAGGAAGAACAGGGCUUUUUACCCAGGGACCCAAAGUGUUCUUUCGAUGAUGGCCAUUCCCCUGUCCUCCCCAGAGGUGAAUCAGGGUGUUCUGCACAUCUCUCACUCACAGAAAUGGGGACCAGAAAAAAGGUGGGUUGUGUGUGUGUGUGUGUGUGUGCGCGCGCCAAUUGUUCACCGCGGAGAAUAGGGAGGAAAUAGACCAAGAGACAAAGCAGAGAGCAAGGAGACGCCUUUGCUCAAGUGAAACUGCAGGGAGGCCCCGCCCUGGAAGGCAGAGAAAAGCGUUAGAAAUGGGGGUCCCAGGCCUGAGGGGCCUGCAGACACCAGGAGAGAUCCCUUCUGUUCCACCCAGUAAUGGGAAAAGCCAGCAUUAUUGUUUACUGUGUGCCGGGCACUGAGCUAAUAAUGAGACCGUCAGGUGCCUUAUCCCUACAGCCCUCUGAUGUUGGUACAUCCAUGCUUAUUUCGCAGAGGAACUCAGAGAGGUUAAUCAACUUGUUUGAGGCCACACAGCUUGCCAGUGGCAGCACUGAGAUUUGAGCCUAGGUCCAACUCCAGGGCCUCCUUCUCUUAACCACACUGCUUGGCUUUUAGCUGGC
ensembl:lincRNA